rnacentral:rRNA from 1 species
CCUACGGGUGGCAGCAGUGGGGAAUAUUGGACAAUGGGGGCAACCCUGAUCCAGCCAUGCCGCGUGUGUGAAGAAGGCCCUCGGGUUGUAAAGCACUUUCAGUGAGGAAGAACGCCUGGUGGUUAAUACCCAUCAGGAAAGACAUCACUCACAGAAGAAGCACCGGCUAACUCCGUGCCAGCAGCCGCGGUAAUACGGAGGGUGCGAGCGUUAAUCGGAAUUACUGGGCGUAAAGCGCGCGUAGGUGGCUUGAUAAGUCGGUUGUGAAAGCCCCGGGCUCAACCUGGGAACGGCAUCCGGAACUGUCAAGCUAGAGUGCAGGAGAGGAAGGUAGAAUUCCCGGUGUAGCGGUGAAAUGCGUAGAGAUCGGGAGGAAUACCAGUGGCGAAGGCGGCCUUCUGGACUGACACUGACACUGAGGUGCGAAAGCGUGGGUAGCAAACAGGAUUAGAUACCCUUGUAGUC